GACGAACGCUGGCGGCGUGCUUAACACAUGCAAGUCGAACGGAAAGGCCCUGCUUUUGUGGGGUGCUCGAGUGGCGAACGGGUGAGUAACACGUGAGUAACCUGCCCUUGACUUUGGGAUAACUUCAGGAAACUGGGGCUAAUACCGGAUAGGAGCUCCUGCUGCAUGGUGGGGGUUGGAAAGUUUCGGCGGUUGGGGAUGGACUCGCGGCUUAUCAGCUUGUUGGUGGGGUAGUGGCUUACCAAGGCUUUGACGGGUAGCCGGCCUGAGAGGGUGACCGGCCACAUUGGGACUGAGAUACGGCCCAGACGCCUACGGGAGGCAGCAGUGGGGAAUAUUGCACAAUGGGCGGAAGCCUGAUGCAGCAACGCCGCGUGCGGGAUAACGGCCUUCGGGUUGUAAACCGCUUUCGCCUGUGACGAAGCGUGAGUGACGGUAAUGGGUAAAGAAGCACCGGCUAACUACGUG
rnacentral:rRNA from 1 species